GGUGGCUCAGUGGUAGAGUGCUUGUCUAGCACGCAUGAAGCCCUGGGUUCGAGUCCUAUCC
rnacentral:tRNA from 1 species